GUCGAACGAAGGCCCGUAUUUCGGUUGGGUCCUUAGUGGCGCACGGGUGCGUAACGCGUGGUCAGUCUGCCCCUUGGUUCGGAAUAACAGUUAGAAAUGACUGCUAAUACCGGAUGAUGACGUAAGUCCGAAGAUUUAUCGCCGAGGGAUGAGCCCGCGUAGGAUUAGCUAGUUGGUGUGGUAAGAGCGCACCAAGGCGACGAUCCUUAGCUGGUCUGAGAGGAUGAUCAGCCACACUGGGACUGAGACACGGCCCAGACUCCUACGGGAGGCAGCAGUGGGNGAAUAUUGGACAAUGGGCGAAAGCCUGAUCCAGCAAUGCCGCGUGAGUGAUGAAGGCCUUAGGUGUUGUAAAGCUCUUUUACCCGGGAUGAUAAUGACAGUACCGGGAGAAUAAGCUCCGGCUAACUCCGUGCCAGCAGCCGCGGUAAUACGGAGGGAGCUAGCGUUAUUCGGAAUUACUGGGCGUAAAGCGCACGUAGGCGGCUUUGUAAGUAAGAGGUGAAAGCCCAGAGCUCAACUCUGGAAUUGCCUUUUACACUGCAUCGCUUGAAUCAUGGAGAGGUCAGUGGAAUUCCGAGUGUAGAGGUGAAAUUCGUAGAUAUUCGGAAGAACACCAGUGGCGAAGGCGGCUGACUGGACAUGUAUUGACGCUGAGGUGCGAAAGCGUGGCGAGCAGACAGGAUGAGAUACCCUGGUAGUCCCCA
rnacentral:rRNA from 1 species